UACGAAGGGGGCUAGCGUUGCUCGGAAUCACUGGGCGUAAAGGGUGCGUAGGCGGGUCUUUAAGUCAGGGGUGAAAUCCUGGAGCUCAACUCCAGAACUGCCUUCGAUACUGGCGAUCUUCGAGUCCGGGAGAGGUGAGUGGAACUCCGAGUGUAGAGGUGAAAUUCGUAGAUAUUCGGAAGAACACCAGUGGCGAAGGCGGCUCACUGGCCCGGUACUGACGCUGAGGUGCGAAAGCGUGGGGAGCAAACAGG
rnacentral:rRNA from 1 species